rnacentral:tRNA from 3 species
UGGGGCGUAGCCAAGUGGUAAGGCAACGGUUUUUGGUACCGUCAUUCCCUGGUUCGAAUCCAGGCGCCCCAGCCA